GACGAACGCUGGCGGCGUGCUUAACACAUGCAGGUCGAACGGAAAGGCCCUGCUUUUGUGGGGUGCUCGAGUGGCGAACGGGUGAGUAACACGAGAGUAACCUGCCCUUGACUUUGGGAUAACUUCAGGAAACUGGGGCUAAUACCGGAUAGGAGCUCCUGCUGCAUGGUGGGUGUUGGAAAGUUUCGGCGGUUGGGGAUGGACUCGCGGCUUAUCAGCUUGUUGGUGGGGUAGUGGCUUACCAAGGCUUUGACGGGUAGCCGGCCUGAGAGGGUGACCGGCCACAUUGGGACUGAGAUACGGCCCAGACUCCUACGGGGGGCAGCGGUGGGGAAUAUUGCACAAUGGGCGGAAGCCUGAUGCAGCAACGCCGCGUGCGGGAUAACGGCCUUCGGGUUGUAAACCGCUUUCGCCUGUGACGAGGCGUGAGUGACGGUAAUGGGUAAAGAAGCACCGGCUAACUACGUG
rnacentral:rRNA from 1 species